CGGGCAGGAGAAGACGGAAGUGGAGCGAGGACAAAAUGGCUGCGAAGAACCGCCUCAGGACGCGGUCGUGUCUGGAUCCCUCCGCGGAAAAGAAGGCGAAACCGCUUCUCUGAGCCCUGACCGUUAGGCCCCUUCCCACCUCCGUCUAGAACAGAUUCGGCUUCUUGGCUCAGUCCUUCCCCAACUAGCCCAAGCCCUACAUUUCCCCG
rnacentral:lncRNA from 1 species